GAGAAGCUUGCUUCUCUGAUGUUAGCGGCGGACGGGUGAGUAACACGUGGAUAACCUACCUAUAAGACUGGGAUAACUUCGGGAAACCGGAGCUAAUACCGGAUAAUAUUUUGAACCGCAUGGUUCAAAAGUGAAAGACGGUCUUGCUGUCACUUAUAGAUGGAUCCGCGCUGCAUUAGCUAGUUGGUAAGGUAACGGCUUACCAAGGCAACGAUGCAUAGCCGACCUGAGAGGGUGAUCGGCCACACUGGAACUGAGACACGGUCCAGACUCCUACGGGAGGCAGCAGUAGGGAAUCUUCCGCAAUGGGCGAAAGCCUGACGGAGCAACGCCGCGUGAGUGAUGAAGGUCUUCGGAUCGUAAAACUCUGUUAUUAGGGAAGAACAUAUGUGUAAGUAACUGUGCACAUCUUGACGGUACCUAAUCAGAAAGCCACGGCUAACUACGUGCCAGCAGCCGCGGUAAUACGUAGGUGGCAAGCGUUAUCCGGAAUUAUUGGGCGUAAAGCGCGCGUAGGCGGUUUUUUAAGUCUGAUGUGAAAGCCCACGGCUCAACCGUGGAGGGUCAUUGGAAACUGGAAAACUUGAGUGCAGAAGAGGAAAGUGGAAUUCCAUGUGUAGCGGUGAAAUGCGCAGAGAUAUGGAGGAACACCAGUGGCGAAGGCGACUUUCUGGUCUGUAACUGACGCUGAUGUGCGAAAGCGUGGGGAUCAAACAGGAUUAGAUACCCUGGUAGUCCACGCCGUAAACGAUGAGUGCUAAGUGUUAGGGGGUUUCCGCCCCUUAGUGCUGCAGCUAACGCAUUAAGCACUCCGCCUGGGGAGUACGACCGCAAGGUUGAAACUCAAAGGAAUUGACGGGGACCCGCACAAGCGGUGGAGCAUGUGGUUUAAUUCGAAGCAACGCGAAGAACCUUACCAAAUCUUGACAUCCUUUGACAACUCUAGAGAUAGAGCCUUCCCCUUCGGGGGACAAAGUGACAGGUGGUGCAUGGUUGUCGUCAGCUCGUGUCGUGAGAUGUUGGGUUAAGUCCCGCAACGAGCGCAACCCUUAAGCUUAGUUGCCAUCAUUAAGUUGGGCACUCUAAGUUGACUGCCGGUGACAAACCGGAGGAAGGUGGGGAUGACGUCAAAUCAUCAUGCCCCUUAUGAUUUGGGCUACACACGUGCUACAAUGGACAAUACAAAGGGCAGCGAAACCGCGAGGUCAAGCAAAUCCCAUAAAGUUGUUCUCAGUUCGGAUUGUAGUCUGCAACUCGACUACAUGAAGCUGGAAUCGCUAGUAAUCGUAGAUCAGCAUGCUACGGUGAAUACGUUCCCGGGUCUUGUACACACCGCCCGUCACACCACGAGAGUUUGUAACACCCGAAGCCGGUGGAGUAACCUUUUAGGAGCUAGCCGUCGAAGGUGGGACAAAUGAUUGGGGUGAAGUCGUAACAAGGUAGCCGUAUCGGAAGGUGCGGCUGGAUCACCUCCUUUCUAAGGA
rnacentral:rRNA from 1 species